rnacentral:misc_RNA from 1 species
GCACCUACCGAUUGAAUGGUCCGGUGAAGCCUCGGGAUUGUGGCGAGUUCCCUUCAUUGGGAGUUUGUCGCGAGAACUUGUCUAAACCUUAUCAUUUAGAGGAAGGUGAAGUCGUAACAAGGUUUCCGUAGGUGAACCUGCAGAAGGAUCAAGAAAGGACGAAAGUCGGGUGGGGAGAGAAUGUAGAUCUCUGUGGGUGCCCGACCAUUAAAAAAAAAAAAAAAAAAAACCACACAGAACACAGCAGCACCGCUGCGCACAUCAGUCACCGACGCCC